GUCUUAUACCUUUGGCCGGGUAUAAGAUGCUCUGGCAGCGUGAGGUCGAUCGCUGUAUCAUCACUAUAGCUCUUAUGUGAUGGUUGUCGGUUAGAGAAGCUCCCACAGCAGUUAUUGUAUUUUCAUACACAGAGAUUAUUGUAUUUUUAUAUACAUCAGUUCAUUGUAUUUCUAUAUACAUUUCAGGCUUAUUGUAUCCUUGUAUACACACAGAGUUCAUAGCAUGUUUUAAGCAAUCUUUCUUUAUAUCGCACUUGUUUUAAAUUGCCUUAUAUUGAAAGAAGUCAGUCAGGUUGAGUUGAGUUGAGCUAGGUAAGUUAUUCAGUUUCUUUCAGAUUUCCUUCUAGCCUUUGUUGCU
rnacentral:lncRNA from 1 species